UACGAAGGGGGCUAGCGUUGUUCGGAAUUACUGGGCGUAAAGGGCGCGUAGGCGGCGUGUCAAGUCAGGCGUGAAAGCCCCGGGCUCAACCUGGGAACCGCGCUUGAGACUGGCAUGCUCGAGUUCGGGAGAGGAUGGUGGAAUUCCCAGUGUAGAGGUGAAAUUCGUAGAUAUUGGGAAGAACACCGAUGGCGAAGGCAGCCAUCUGGACCGACACUGACGCUGAGGCACGAAGGCCAGGGGAGCAAACGGG
rnacentral:rRNA from 1 species